rnacentral:ncRNA from 1 species
AAUAAUGUAGGUAAGGGAAGUCGGUGAAUCAGAUCCGUAACUUCGGAAAAAGGAUUGGCUCUAAGAAUUUGGACGGGCACGCUGAUGCCCGUAGCGCAUGUGGACGUGUUGCUGGUUUGAUCGAUGGUUCCGGCGCAAGUUGGUACCGGAGAUCGUUCCGGACGCGAGACGUAUGCGCGGACCGUUUCAGCUGAGGGUCUGAUAUGAAAGUGUUGUGCAUUUCGUCCGGCCUUGAAAGGUCAACAUAGAACUGGCACGGACAAGUGGAUUCUGACUGUUUAAUUGAAACAUAUAUUCUAAUUAGCAAUUUUUAGACAAUUGAUUUUGAAAUUAUUAUGCUUUUAUCUUUUAAAACAUUUCCAUAGUCCAUGGUAUUGU